rfam:Erinaceus europaeus unplaced genomic scaffold scaffold00117, whole genome shotgun sequence
AUCUACGGCCAUACCACCCUGAACACGCCCGAUCUUGUCUGAUCUCGGAAGCUAAGCAGGGUCAGGCCUGGUUAGUACUUGGAUGGGAGGAACACCAUGCUCAAUAAGAA